UGGGGAAUUUUGGACAAUGGGGGAAACCCUGAUCCAGCCAUCCCGCGUGUGCGAUGAAGGCCUUCGGGUUGUAAAGCACUUUUGGCAGGAAAGAAACGUCGCGGGUUAAUACCCCGCGAAACUGACGGUACCUGCAGAAUAAGCACCGGCUAACUACGUGCCAGCAGCCGCGGUAAUACGUAGGGUGCAAGCGUUAAUCGGAAUUACUGGGCGUAAAGCGUGCGCAGGCGGUUUCGGAAAGAAAGAUGUGAAAUCCCAGAGCUUAACUUUGGAACUGCAUUUUUAACUACCGGGCUAGAGUGUGUCAGAGGGAGGUGGAAUUCCGCGUGUAGCAGUGAAAUGCGUAGAUAUGCGGAGGAACACCGAUGGCGAAGGCAGCCUCCUGGGAUAACACUGACGCUCAUGCACGAAAGCGUGGGGAGCAAACAGGAUUAGAUACCCUGGUAGUCCACGCCCUAAACGAUGUCAACUAGCUGUUGGGGGCCUUCGGGCCUUGGUAGCGCAGCUAACGCGUGAAGUUGACCGCCUGGGGGAGUACGGUCGCAAGAUU
rnacentral:rRNA from 1 species